rnacentral:tRNA from 1 species
GGAUAGUUGCCCGAGCGGUCGAAGGGGCUCGAUUGGAAAUCGAGUUUUCCCAGAAAUGGGGGACGAAGGUUCAAAUCCUUCACUAUCCGCCA